rnacentral:rRNA from 1 species
AGAGUUUGAUCAUGGCUCAGAUUGAACGCUGGCGGCAUGCUUUACACAUGCAAGUCGAGCGGCAGCGCGGGGGCAACCCUGGCGGCGAGCGGCGAACGGGUGAGGAAUCCAUCGGAACGUACCCCGGAGUGGGGGAUAACGCCGCGAAAGCGGCGCUAAUACCGCAUAUGCUCUGCGGAGGAAAGUGGGGGAUCGCAAGACCUCAUGCUCGUGGAGCGGCCGAUAUCUGAUUAGCUAGUUGGUAGGGUAAAAGCCUACCAAGGCAUCGAUCAGUAGCUGGUCUGAGAGGACGACCAGCCACACUGGGACUGAGACACGGCCCAGACUCCUACGGGAGGCAGCAGUGGGGAAUUUUGGACAAUGGGCGCAAGCCUGAUCCAGCAAUGCCGCGUGAGUGAAGAAGGCCUUCGGGUUGUAAAGCUCUUUUGUCAGGGAAGAAACGAUCCGAUCUAAUACAUUGGGUUAAUGACGGUACCUGAAGAAUAAGCACCGGCUAACUACGUGCCAGCAGCCGCGGUAAUACGUAGGGUGCAAGCGUUAAUCGGAAUUACUGGGCGUAAAGCGUGCGCAGGCGGUUAUGUAAGACAGAUGUGAAAUGCCCGGGCUUAACCUGGGAACUGCAUUUGUGACUGCAUGGCUAGAGUGUGUCAGAGGGGGGUAGAAUUCCACGUAGCAGUGAAAUGCGUAGAUAUGUGGAGGAAUACCGAUGGCGAAGGCAGCCCCCUGGGAUAACACUGACGCUCAUGCACGAAAGCGUGGGGAGCAAACAGGAUUAGAUACCCUAGUAGUCC